AUCAACGCUGGCGGCGCGCCUAACACAUGCAAGUCGAACGAGAAAGCCGGGGCAACCUGGUGAGUACAGUGGGCGUACGGGUGAGUAACACGUGUGUAAUCUACCUCCUUGUGGGGAAUAACUUGGGAAACCGGAGCUAAUACCGCAUAAGCUCGAGAGGGAGGAAAGCAGCAAUGCGCAGGGAGAGGAGCCCGCGGCCGAUUAGCUAGUUGGCAGGGUAAAAGCCUACCAAGGCAAAGAUCGGUAGCCGGCCUGAGAGGGCACACGGCCACACUGGCACUGAAACACGGGCCAGACUCCUACGGGAGGCAGCAGUGGGAAUCUUGCACAAUGGGGGAAACCCUGAUGCAGCGACCGCCGCGUGAGCGAUGAAGCCCUUCGGGGUGUAAAGCUCUUUCGGCAGGGAAGAUGAUGACGGUACCUGCAGAAGCAGCUGCGGCUAACUACGUGCCAGCAGCCGCGGUAAUACGUAGGCAGCAAGCGUUGUUCGGAGUUACUGGGCGUAAAAGGGUGUGUAGGCGGUUGCUUAAGUUUGGUGGUGUGAAAUCUCCCGGCUCAACUGGGAGGGUGCGCCGAAUACUGAAUGACUUGGAGUGCGGGAGAGGAGAGUGGAAUUCCUGGUGUAGCGGUGAAAUGCGUAGAUAUCAGGAGGAACACCGGUGUUGUAGACGGCUCUCUGGACCGUAACUGACGCUGAGGCGCGAAAGCUAGGGGAGCCAAACAGGAUUAGAUACCCUGGUAGUCUAGCCCUAAACUAUGGAUGCUUGGUGUGUCGGGUACCCAAUCCCGACGUGCCGCAGCUAACGCGUUAAGCAUCCCGCCUGGGGAGAGUACGGUCGCAAGGCUGAAACUCAAAGGAAUUGACGGGGGCCCGCACAAGCGGUGGAGUAUGUGGUUCAAUUCGAUGCAACGCGAAGAACCUUACCUAGGGCUUGAAGCGCAGUGGCCGGGGGAAAUCCCUUCCGACCGAAGGAGUGCCUUCGAGCCGGACCGGUGGUGCAUGGCUGUCGUCAGCUCGAGUCGUGAGAUGUUGGGUAAGUCCCGCAACGAGCGCAACCCUUCUCGUUAGUUGCCAUCAGGUCAGGAUGGGCACUCUAGAGAAGACCCGCCUUGACUAACCGGGAGGAAGGUGGGGAUGACGUCAAGUCAGCAUGCGCCCUUUACGUCCCUGGGGCUACACACGUAGCUACAAUGCUACGGUACAAACGUCAGCAAACCGCGAGGGGCAGCCAAUCGCAGAAAGCCGUGGCCUCAGUUCAGGAUUGGCAGUCUGCAACUCGCCUGCAGUGAAGAUGGAAUCGCUAGUAAUCGCCGGAUCAGCAUAACGGCGGUGAAUCCGUUCCCGGGCCUUGUACACACCGCCCGUCACAUCCAUGGGAAGCCUGGGUUGCUCCAGAAGUCCGUUACCCGCAACCCUGAAAAGGAGGGGGACGUCCGAAGGCUCGGGCUCAUGACUGGGGUG
rnacentral:rRNA from 1 species